rnacentral:rRNA from 1 species
GAAAGGUGUGCUAAUACCGGAUACGCUCUUUUUUUCGUAGGGAGAGGAGAGUAAAGGUGACCUCUGAUUUAAGUUAUCGUAUGGGGAGGAGCCUGCGUACCAUUAGCUAGUAGGUGGGGUAAAGGCCUACCUAGGCUACGAUGGUUAGCGGGUCUGAGAGGAUGAUCCGCCACACUGGAACUGGAACACGGACCAGACUCCUACGGGAGGCAGCAGUGNAGGAAUUUUGCGCAAUGGGCGAAAGCCUGACGCAGCGACGCCGCGUGGGUGAAGAAGGUUUUCGGAUCGUAAAACCCUGUCAGGUGGGAAGAAGUGUGUAAUGGUUAAUACCCAUUACAUUUGACGGUACCACCAGAGGAAGCACCGGCUAACUCCGUGCCAGCAGCCGCGGUAAUACGGAGGGUGCGAGCGUUGUUUCGGAAUUACUGGGCGUAAAGGGCCGCGCCAGGCCGNCCCAAUCAAAGUCCAGAUG